GACGAACGCUGGCGGCGUGCUUAACACAUGCAAGUCGAACGGAAAGGCCCUGCUUUUGUGGGGUGCUCGAGUGGCGAACGGGUGAGUAACACGUGAGUAACCUGCCCUUGACUUUGGGAUAACUUCAGGAAACUGGGGCUAAUACCGGAUAGGAGCUCCUGCUGCAUGGUGGGGGUUGGAAAGUUUCGGCGGUUGGGGAUGGACUCGCGGCUUAUCAGCUUGUUGGUGGGGUAGUGGCUUACCAAGGCUUUGACGGGUAGCCGGCCUGAGAGGGUGACCGGGCACCAUGGGACUGAGAUACGGCCCAGACUCCUACGGGAGGCAGCAGUGGGGAGUAUUGCACAAUGGGCGGAAGCCUGAUGCAGCAACGCCGGGUGCGGGAUGACGGCCUUCGGGUUGUAAACCGCUUUCGCCUGUGACGAAGCGUGAGUGACGGUAAUGGGUAAAGAAGCACCGGCUAACUACGUG
rnacentral:rRNA from 1 species